GAUGAACGCUAGCGGCAGGCUUAACACAUGCAAGUCGAGGGGCAGCAUGAGACGGAGAUUCGUCGAAGUCUUGAUGGCGACCGGCGCAAGGGUGCGUAACGCGUGAGCAACUUGCCCGUUUCUGGGGGAAUAACCGGUGGAAACGCCGACUAAUACCCCAUAGUAUCAGAUUGAGGCAUCUUUAUCUGAUUAAAGAAUUUCGGAAACGGAUAGGCUCGCGUGACAUUAGCUGGAUGGCGGGGUAACGGCCCACCUAGUCUACGAUGUCUAGGGGUUCUGAGAGGAAGGUCCCCCACACUGGAACUGAGACACGGUCCAGACUCCUACGGGAGGCAGCAGUGAGGAAUAUUGGUCAAUGGUCGGAAGACUGAACCAGCCAAGUAGCGUGAAGGAUGAAGGUUCUAUGGAUUGUAAACUUCUUUUANACGGGAAUAAAACCUCCCACGUGUGGGAGCUUGUAUGUACCGUAUGAAUAAGCGUCGGCUAACUCCGUGCCAGCAGCCG
rnacentral:rRNA from 1 species